rnacentral:ncRNA from 1 species
AAUAAAGAAAGAAAAUAGACUUACAGAUAGCUCUAUGGUGUUGCUGAUUUAUAGUAGCUCUCUAUAUACCGGUGCACACCACUGGGAGUGAAGCCUAUACCUAGAACUGGGAAGGAAGGGCUCUCUGUGUUUUUGUUAAAUACCAGUGCAUAAACUGGAAACAACUGCGUCAAGGGACUCACAGGUGGCCUGUGUAAAAGAUGACCGUACCCCAACACCGACACUGGGGAACCUACUCAUAGAGUACCAGGCGACUGAGCUAACCUUGAUUGAAGGAACUCGGCAUCCGUUGUGUUGCUUCUUUAUACCGACCUUCUUUUCUAUUGUGAGCACCUUCGGACAAAGUCAGCCGAUCAAGGGGUAGCGACUGUUUCAUAAACACACAGGACAAUGCAAACCGGUGGAGGUAUAUGGUCUGACACCUGCCCGGUGCUCAACAGGCGUCAGGCUACCCCACGGAGUGCGUCCUAGGUAGCGAAGCAGAGGGGCCGCAGGCUUAACGGUAAACGGCGGCAGUAACUAUAACUGUCCGAAGGUAGCGAAAUUCCUUGUCGCAUAAGUAUCGACCUGCACGAAUGGUGUCACGACUGCCAAGCUGUCUCCUACAGGGAAUCGGGUGAAAUUGCAAGGUUGGUUCAGAUGCCGCUUUCCCAUGGCCGGACGGUAAGACCCCAUGCACCUUAACUAUGUAAGUUCGAAGUGCGAAUCUCCACGUUCGAUUGUGGCUAUCAAUAGUGAUAUGGGCAUAUGCGCCUCUCCCCGAGCUGAACACGCUUUCUAAGGCAUUCGCUAAACCUGCUGCUCUCUUUUGAUUGAGACACCACCGAUCUUGUUUUCACGGUCCAAAAACAUAGAUUGAGUGUUACAACAUAGAUUUCGAACUGGGCGAAGCACGAGCGACCCAUUUCGAGUUUAGGUAGUUUAUCUGGGGCGGAGGCCUACAAAACCGAAAC